UAGGGAAUCUUCGGCAAUGGGGGGAACCCUGACCGAGCAACGCCGCGUGAGUGAAGAAGGUUUUCGGAUCGUAAAGCUCUGUUGUUAAGGAAGAACGAGUGUGAGAAUGGAAAGUUCAUGCUGUGACGGUACUUAACCAGAAAGGGACGGCUAACUACGUGCCAGCAGCCGCGGUAAUACGUAGGUCCCGAGCGUUGUCCGGAUUUAUUGGGCGUAAAGCGAGCGCAGGCGGUUAGAUAAGUCUGAAGUUAAAGGCAGUGGCUCAACCAUUGUAGGUUUUAGAAACUGUUUAACUUGAGUGCAGAGGGGGAGAGUGGAAUUCCAUGUGUAGCGGUGAGAUGCGUAGAUAUAUGGAGGAACACCGGUGGCGAAAGCGGCUCUCUGGUCUGUAACUGACGCUGAGGCUCGAAAGCGUGGGGAGCGAACAGG
rnacentral:rRNA from 1 species